rnacentral:rRNA from 1 species
CUACGGGAUGCAGCAGUGAGGAAUAUUGCACAAUGUGGGGAACCCUGAUGCAGCAACGCCGCGUGGAGGAUGACGCAUUUCGGUGUGUAAACUCCUUUUAUAUGUCAAGAAAAUGACGGUAGCAUAUGAAUAAGCACCGGCUAACUCCGUGCCAGCAGCCGCGGUAAUACGGAGGGUGCAAGCGUUACUCGGAAUCACUGGGCGUAAAGGACGCGUAGGCGGGUUGGAAAGUCAGGUGUGAAAUCCUACAGCUUAACUGUAGAACUGCACUUGAAACUUCUAAUCUAGAGUAUGGGAGGGGGAGAUGGAAUUAGUGGUGUAGGGGUAAAAUCCGUAGAUAUCACUAGGAAUACCUAAAGCGAAGGCGAUCUCCUGGAACAUUACUGACGCUAAGGCGUGAAAGCGUGGGGAGCAAACAGGAUUAGAUACCCUUGUAGUC